rnacentral:lncRNA from 1 species
UGGCAUAGCUUACCAUAUGAAGAAAGCAACAGGAACUUUUAAUCACAUCUGCUCGUUUUAUAGUAAAACAUUAAAAAUGCUUCGCUGACCGCAGAGAUCGAACCCUGAACAGUUGGGGCAAAUUUGGACAUAAUAUUAAAGCUUGAUACUAUCUGAAUUUGGAUUGUGAUCAAAUUUAUGACGUUAUAUAGGUUUCUGACACAAGGUAAAUGUGGUCGAAGAUCUUAAAUCGUAUGCGCAAUACUGUGCAACUGAAGGUUUCUUCCCGCCCAUAACAUUUUGUUUUCCUUCUAGGAUAAAUAACCAUCAAACCAAAUCCCAGUCUUUCCUUUCUGGUAAUGAACCUUGUAGUACAAUUUUAGAGAGGUCCAUACACUUGAAC